rnacentral:lncRNA from 1 species
GUGCUGUUCCCCACAGCCAUCCCACAGCGCUUUGCCAUUGGGACACGAUGCAGAAGGAGAGCGCUCUCCCCCCAGCCCAGGAGUCUUCGCUGCUGAGGAAAGACAGCGACAUAUAUGAAAUAUUUCCUGGAGCUGCCGUGGGGACACAAAGCUUUGCUGGAGAACGUUUCCACAUCACCCACAGCUACACGCAUCAGCACAGCCUGGUUAGGCUGGAGCCCAAUGCAAGCAGGCGUGGGGCUGAGCACAGCACUGGGAGGGGGCCUGGCCCACCCCCACCUGCACGGCCCGAGCUGCUCUUUGUUAGCUUUUAUUACUUAUUUCUUUACUAUGCUUAAACUCGUAUGCUGUUCCAAAGUUGCCCCGUUUCAUGUCAUUGUUUGUUGCUGUGUUUGAAAGUUGGCACAUAUUUGUUCAAUUAAAGAUUUAUUUGCGCUAUUUGUUGAAUAAAGAUUAUUCUUGCUAAAAGCUAAAUAAAGUUUCAUAAAAACUCACACAUCCCCAUAAACAAAAUACAAUGUCCCUUCCAAAAAAUGGUUGCACAAAACAUUUCAAAAUCACUCCGUUCAUUAUACAAUAAAUCCACACACAAAAUAACAAGCCCUUGCCAGAAUACAUCAUAAAACCUCAUUACAACACUUUCAGACCCGAGCUUCAAAGCGGGGACACAAAAGCCUCCCUGAACCCCUGGCCUCAGCAGCUGCCAACCUAACAGCACCGCAGGGCAUCCCGAGGGCCCCCGCACCCAUGGGUGAGGGCUGGGGGACAGAUGGGCACCGUGGGACCCCCACCUCCGCCCCGGGCACCGCGCAGAUGCACCACGGGGAUGCUCUCCCAGGGACAGAGCAUCAAAUGAAAGCACUCCCAAACCACGGCAACAACAGAAGGCGAGCAGUGCUUCCAAAAGCAUCAGGAGGAGUCAGCACAAUUGCCACGCGGGCCCCAAAAGCACAGCUCCAGUCCUCAUUAAAGCAGCAGCCGGCAGAUUGCAGCGGCCGCGAUGCGCGCAGGGAGCAGCGCGUGGAUGCUCAGCAUGGAACUGGGCAACAGCAAAUACCACUGAAGGGAUCCUCACAGCACGCAGCACACAGCACACACAGCAACGGGCUCCCAAGCACCAGCAGGAAGACUUAAAGCAAUCAGCUCUACGCAUCUGACCUUUACCUACUGUAACACCUCAGGCUCUGAGGGAGUGCAGCAAUGCUCCAGAGCCCAAACCCAGGGGCACUGUGCUCCCCCAGCACCAACCACUGCUCCCACUAAGCCCACGCAAGGGCUGUGAAUGCAGCUGGAUGCUGAACGUCGUUGCACUGAGGUCUGGGAGAAUCCAGGCAGCGCAAGAGGGACAGUGAAGAGGAGAUGCUGCUGCAGGCACAC